rnacentral:rRNA from 1 species
GACAUAGGGCGCGAGCGUUGUCCGGAUUUAUUGGGCGUAAAGAGCUCGUAGGCGGCUUGUCGCGUCGAAUGUGAAAUUUCAGGGCUCAACUCUGACAUUGCAUUCGAUACGGGCAGGCUAGAGUUCGGUAGGGGAGACUGGAAUUCCUGGUGUAGCGGUGAAAUGCGCAGAUAUCAGGAGGAACACCGGUGGCGAAGGCGGGUCUCUGGGCCGAUACUGACGCUGAGACGCGAAAGCGUGGGGAGCGAACAGG